CUUUUCAUUGUAAGCUUCACUGCAGUGCAUAUCCUCUCAUUAUAUCUUGCACCUGUUAGUUUUUACAUGACUAUAUCACCACAGGACUGAGGAUAUAUUUGCCCUAAAAUCAGAAAUGUUCUUCGUAUUUCCUCCUCAACCACCUGUUUCUCAGCUGCCGAGGUCUAAGUGGUGAGAGGAUGGCAGUCUUUUGCAUUUUAGAGUAGCACAUCUACCAGUGAGCACAAAUCAAACUGCAAAGAAAGGGGAUUGGAGCUGAGAUCCAGAAAACCAAAGAGGUUUUUGUAAAGGCAACAGAAAAACUGAGAAAGACAAGUGAUAACUAUGGGCUGAGAAUUAUAGUGAAGAGUUAAAUCUGAUUUGAGUCUACAACAAGCUACAGGUAACAUGUAUAUGGCAAGGGUAAAAUACUAUUCUCUGUGGAAAUUAUGGAAACUUUUAAAGAAACAUACCCAGUAGAAAUAUUUCUCAUCAGGAAUAAUAUCAACAAUAUACUUUUAUCUUUGAUCAUGGAUCAUUUCUCUUAUGAUCAGCCCCCACUGAUCCACAGUUGAAGGUCAUGUCCUUUUAUCAAGGCCUUUACCAUUAAUUGCAGAUUAUCCUGCAAUUCUUUGCUUCUAAGUUUGCAGUUUACCAUGAAUUGCAGAUUAUUUUACAAUUCUUUGUUUUCAAGUUUGCACCAGUUUGAAAAUAGAGUCUUAGCUAACGUCUAAAGGGAUUUUCUUUCCUUCAACAUGCUUUAGAAAUUGCUGAUGAUUUGUUGUUCUUUACUCCAGAACUCUCCAUUUGGGUGGCCCUGUGGCUCUGUGUCUCUCUGUAUGCUCUUUGCUGGGAGCCCGUUUAGCUCUGGAAAUGCUAGCUGUAGCCUCUAUAAACUGCUGUUUCUCCAAUCUGCCUGCUCUCUUCUACUCAGCUGCCUCACAGCCCUAUGGUAAUGGGAAAGAUUUUCGCAGUUCCUGGCUAUUUUCAAGAAAAGAGGAGUAAUUUGCAGAUUAGUCUGUGAUAAAAAAAAUAGUCUGCCUCACUGCAGAUACUCUGUGCUAAGGUUUUAAAGGUUGUGGUUAGAGACCUAUGGGUCCUGAAACCUGCAAAGAAUAUGAAUCCCUGCUUGAAAAAUUUUUAAUGAGUGAUAACUGGGUUUUGACAUAUGACACACUUCUUAUUUUAGAUCAUGAUGAAAACAUCUUUGAAAUUACUCUUUUAUUUAUUUAAUGUAUAAGUUACUUUAACGUAUAAACUAUUUAAGUAUCCAACUACUGGCAGAUAUUUGAGCUUUUACUCUUUAGAUUUUCAUGCUCACUGUUGUGGGUAUCUAUGUUGAAGUGAACCAUUGAAACAACUGGAUAAGAAUUGUGAAUGAAAGGAGUUCCUGUCGUGGUGCAGUGGUUAAUGAACCCAACUAGUAUCCAUGAGGAUGCGGGUUCCAUUCCUGGCCUUUCUCAGUGGGUUGGGGAUCUGGUGUUGCUGUGAGCUGUGGAAUAGGUCACAGACACGGCUCAGAUCCUGUGUUGCUGUGGCUGUGGUGUAGGCUGGCAGCUGGAGCUCCAAUUCAACCCCUAGCCUGGGAACCUUCAUAUGCCUCGGGUGUGGCCCUAAAAAGACAAAAAAAAAAAAAAAAAAAAAAAAAAA
rnacentral:lncRNA from 1 species